CUUGGUUGAUCCUGCUAGUAGUCAUAUGCUUGUCUCAAAGAUUAAGCCAUGCAUGUGUAAGUAUGAACUAAUUUAGACUGUGAAAUUAUGAAUGGCUCAUCAAAUUAGUUAUAAUUUGUUUGAUGGUAUCUACUACUCAAAUAACCAUAUUAAUUAUAUAGCUAAAGCAUACAACAAACCCCUACUUCUGAAAAAGAUGCAUUUAUUAGAUAAAAGGUCGACGCUGGCUUUGCCCUUUGCUCUAAUGAUUCAUUAUAGCUCGACAGAUUGUAUGACUUUUGUGCCAAUAAUGCAUCAUUCAAAUUUUUGCCCUAUCAAUUUUUAAUGGUAGGAUAGUGGCCUACUAUGGUAGUGACCGGUGACGGAGAAUUAAGGUUCGAUUCUAGAGAAUGAACUUGAGAAAAGGCUAAUACAUCUAAGGAACGAUGCAAGUGAAAAAUUACUCAAUCUUGACACGGAGAGGUUAUGAUAAUAAAUAAUAAUACCGGGCUCUAUGAGUUUAGUAAUUGAAAUAAAUACAAUCUAAAUCCCUAAAUAAAAAUCCAUUUGAGGGCAAGUUUGGUGUGAGUAGCAGUGGUAAUUCUAGCUCCAAUAGCAUAUAUUUAAGUUGUUGCAGUUAAAAAACUCAUAGUUGGAACUAGGGUUGGGUCAUCUGGUCCACCUCACAGUAAGCACCAAUCUACUUGUCCUUAUAACCAAUGAUGCACUCCUAACCUUAACUAGCCAGGUCAUUCUUUUAAGGAUGUUACUUUGAAGAAAUUAGAGUGCUCAAAGUAGGCCUAUAUUUGCAUACAUUAGCAUAGGAUAAUAUCAUAGGAUUUUGGUGCUAUUGUGUUAGCCUUUAGAAUUAGAGUAAUGAUUAAUAGAGACAAUUAGGGGUAUUCAUAUUUUAUAGUCAAAGGUGAAAUUCUUGGAUUUAUGAAAGAUGAACAAUAGCAAAAGCAUUUGCCAAAGAUGUUUUCAUUAAUCAAGAAUGAAAGUUGAGGGCUCGAAGUUGAUCAAAUACCAUCCUAGUCUCAACUAUAAAUGAUGCCAACUAGAGAUCAAUGAAUGUUACUUUUAGGACUUCGUCGGCACCUUAUGAAAAAUCAAAGUCUUUGGAUUCUAGGGUGAGUAUGGUUGCAAGGUUGAAACUUAAAGGAAUUGAUGGAAGGGCACCACAAGGAGUGGAGCUUGUAGUUUAAUUUGACUCAACACAAGGAAACUUAUCAGGUCCAAACAUAGUAAGGAUUGACAUACUAAAAGCUCUUUCUUGAUUUUAGAGGUGGUGGUGCAUGGGUGUUCUUAGUUGGUAGAGAGAUUUGUCUACUUAAUUCUAUUAACGAAUAAGACCUCAACCUAUUAACUAACUACAAGGAGAUAAUCCUUCAUGGCUAGCUUCUUAAAAGGACUAUGGCUACUUAGACCAAGGAAGUUUGAGGUAAUAAUAGGUCUAUGAUGCCUUUAGAUGUUUUAGGUUGCACGUGAGCUACAAUAAUGUAUUCAACAAGUCUAUAGCCUUAGUCGACAGGUCUGGGUAAUCUUUGAAAUUUCAUUGUGAUAGGCAUAGAUCAUUGCAAUCGUUGGCCUGCAAUGAGGAAUUCCUAGUAAGUGCAAGUCAUCAGCUCACAUUGACUACAUCCCUGCCUUUUGUACAUACCACUUGUCAUUCCUGCGAAUUGAAUGGUUUGGUGAAGUGUUCAGAUUGUAACGACAUGGAUGGUUCACUACUGUGACAUUGCGAGAAGUCCACUAAACCUUAUCAUUUAUAGGAGGAGAAGUCGUAAUAAGGUUUCCAUAGGUGAACUUACAGAAG
rnacentral:rRNA from 1 species